GCAUAUCAAUAAGCGGAGGAAAAGAAAACAACCGGGAUUGCCUCAGUAACGGCGAGUGAAGCGGCAAGAGCUCAAAUUUGAAAGCUGGCUCCUUCGGGGUCCGCAUUGUAAUUUGCAGAGGAUGCUUCGGGUGCGGCCCCUGUCUAAGUGCCCUGGAACGGGCCGUCAGAGAGGGUGAGAAUCCCGUCUGGGAUGGGGUGUCCGCGCCCGUGUGAAGCUCCUUCGACGAGUCGAGUUGUUUGGGAAUGCAGCUCUAAAUGGGUGGUAAAUUUCAUCUAAAGCUAAAUACUGGCCGGAGACCGAUAGCGCACAAGUAGAGUGAUCGAAAGAUGAAAAGCACUUUGAAAAGAGAGUUAAAAAGCACGUGAAAUUGUUGAAAGGGAAGCGCUUGCGACCAGACUCGCCUCCAGGGUUCAGCCGGCAUUCGUGCCGGUGUACUUCCCUGGGGGCGGGCCAGCGUCGGUUUGGGCGGCCGGUCAAAGGCUCCCGGAAUGUAGUGCCCUCCGGGGCACCUUAUAGCCGGGAGUGCAAUGCGGCCAGCCUGGACCGAGGAACGCGCUUCGGCACGGACGCUGGCAUAAUGGUCGUAAACGACCCGUCUUGAAACACGGACCAAGGAGUCUAACAUCUACGCGAGUGUUCGGGUGUCAAACCCGUACGCGCAGUGAAAGCGAACGGAGGUGGGAGCCCCCUCGUGGGGCGCACCAUCGACCGAUCCUGAUGUCUUCGGAUGGAUUUGAGUAAGAGCGUAAAUGUGGGGACCCGAAAGAUGGUGAACUAUGCCUGAAUAGGGCGAAGCCAGAGGAAACUCUGGUGGAGGCUCGCAGCGGUUCUGACGUGCAAAUCGAUCGUCAAAUUUGGGUAUAGGGGCGAAAGACUAAUCGAACCAUCUAGUAGCUGGUUCUGCG
rnacentral:rRNA from 1 species